CACUCGCCUGGGUCUCCGGUUGGCGGCUCGGACGGAGUUCAUUUGCCGGGCUGAGGUGGCGGCGUUGGCGGAGGGACACACACACGCACACGCACAGCGAGCUUCGGGGCAGGAGAAAGGGGUGGGGAGAGUGGGAGAGGGGGGAGGAAGGAGAGGGGGCGAGGGGAAGGGGAGACGCUGAGGGCGGAGGGGGCGAGCGGGACCCCGAGUCCGGAGAAAGGCCCGGGUAGACAGACGGAGACCGAGCGAGGCCGGCCGGGAGGGCCUGACGCACGGGGAAGGCCGAAGCCGCCGGGCGGGGCGGCCGCGAGGGACGAAGGCAGAAAGACGGGCAGACCGAGAGAAAGAAAGAAAGGGCGUCCGCCGCUUGGGGAUCCCGAGGCGAAGCGCGGCGGCGGCGGCGGCGGCGGCUGAAGAGACAGAUCCCGGUCCCGCCGACUCGCGAGCGGCGUCUCCGGCAGCGGGGGGAGUGGGCGGGCGGGUGAGGAAGGGAGAAAAAGAGAGGGAGAGAAGGGAGGGAGGGAGCAGGGGGCGCCCGGCUCUUUUUUUUCCCUCUUCCUCCCCCCCACACCCCCUGAAAGAGAUUUCUGUGAGGAAUUUUUCUCUCUUUCUUCGGUCUCUUCUCUCUCCUCCCCCCCUUCUCUCCUCGGCGAAGGGGAAAUGAGUGUGAAGGGAGGAGAUAGGGGGAAAAAGAGGCGUCGUCCUUCCUCCUCCUUAAAGGAACCUUUCCUCCUCCUCCUCGUCAGCCCUGUCGCCGCUGCUUCUGCUGCUGCUCCGUGGCAGGAGGAGCCAUUGACACCGCCGGAGCCUCCACUCGCCCAGUCGGUCCCUCCCCGCCGCGGGGCUGGCCGGGGGCGCGGGGGAGGGCCGCGGGGCGGCGGGGGGAGGGGUGGGUGGGCGGGGAAAGGAGGGGCGGGGAUUCCGUCCAGGCGGCCAAUCUAAGGCGCCCGUACAACCUUCCGGCCAAUGGGGCCUCCGCUCUUAUCGCGAAGUCCCUUCAACGCCCUGUUUCCUCUCUCGGGUUUCCUCCCUCCCCCGCCUAGGAGGGGGAAAGAGGAAAGGGGGAGUGUGGCGGGGCGGGUGAUAAUGGGGAGGUAUCAGGGCAAAUAAUAGAGCAGGGGGUGGGCGAAGAGAGCGCCAGUGCGUAGCGACGAUUCUGGGAGAGGAGGUGCUCGGAGGAAAGGGCGGGGGUUGCUGAUGUAAUGGGGAGAAGUGAUUAAUCCUUCGGUUCGCCGUUUCAGCUUCCCCCCUACCCCAACCUUCACCCGAUUUUUUUGAGCUGAAAAAAAAGUGGAACGAGGGAGCCAAUCUUUGGUAACUCGGGUUUUCUGUGGUAGGUGGGUUCAAAAUCUGAGCUGUAGGGAGCGCUAGAGAUUUCGUGCCCUUUAGCCAAGCUGAGGGUAUUUGCAAACCCUGAAGAUUUCCGUCUCCGAGCUUUGGGCUUGGUCCCACAAACUGCAAGGAAAAGAAAAACCCUCAACAGGAAUUACCUUUAUACCUGAUGCCCCCAACAUAAUCUCUCUCCAAGGGAAACGUGUUUUUAUUGCCUUGCGGCUGAAAAUGUAUUCUCGAUUCUCCCCCUUCUCUCUUUUGUUGUGCAUUUUUUGGAUGUGGUAAAACUGGCAGUUUAUCUGAUUAUCUGGUUUUCAGAACUUUGGGCGAUGUCUCUGAGUGUCAUCAGUUGCUCUCUAGGUUUGACAUAGAUAAUUAAGCAACUACAAAGCGUGAUAAAGCUUUUGAGAGGGAGGAAAAUGUAUUUUGGAAGGAGGGAGAGACGCAAAGAGGCGAGCCUGUGUGUUGAGUCCCAGACUUGGUGUGUGACUACAGGCAAAGUACUUCACCUUUCUAGAUGUCAGCCCCGCCCCCCUCACCUCCCAAGUUUAAAUAAGAACUUAUUUUAGACUACAUGAUCCUGUUUUCAAUUUUUAAGAGUUCUGUGAUUUUGAGAUGAUCUCUCUUUAGUCCAGAAAAAUAGAGAAACGUAGGUCUAUGUUUGUUUCUCAAAAAAAUAUUUGAGGAGGACAGCUGUUACAAAACAGCUGGAGAACUCCAAAUUUUUAUGGUGGUUAGCUAGGUGCAAAUGGGUACAAUUUUAGGUUUGUUCAAAUAAACAUAGGGGAAAAGUAAAAGUACAGGAAAAUUACGUUAUACAUAUAAGUGUGUCCAUCAUUUCUGAUUUUUCUAAAAAUUUACUUUUUUAUUUGACAAGUACUUUUUGGCUCCUUCCGUGUAUGCAUUAAUAUGUAUAUAAGGUGUUAUGGGAAAUACUAAUAAAAGGAAAAUAUUGGGCAUAAAGAGUUUGUAUUUUGGUGUGGCAGAGUGGAAGUUUUACUUACAUUAAUUCAGAUGUAAAGAAAAUGUAGCUUGUUUAUUUUCUGUAAUUUUAACUUCAAGUCC
rnacentral:lncRNA from 1 species